rnacentral:lncRNA from 1 species
AAUGUUUGUUUUCAUUUAGUUUGGUUAUAGCUGAGUUGAUUUGUAAUUACAGGGGUAUUGAGGGUUGUUUGGUCAUUGGUAUGUAAAGGAUAUAUUCUGUUAUGAAGGAAGCUUCUAGAGGAUAAGGGGAGGUCACAUGUGAGGAAUUGGGGUGAAAUUAGAGGUUUUAUCUAGGGAGAGGGAUAACCUUACUCAGCUGGCUAUAAAAGCAUGUUUUUACUUCAGAAAAGGGGAGAGCUACAAUUCUAAAAUUCACAAAAAUCUCUCUUAGAUCUUCACUUUAGAAAAAAGAAGAAGAAGAAAACAAGUUUGAAAAGCAAAAAAACAAAAAACAAAAUAAAUUCUCUCCAAGUUCUUUAGAUGAAAUAAUAAAAAUAGACCACAAUUUUCCUCCAGUUCAUAGGUCUACGAAAAAAAACCAAAGCAGACCAAAUUCAAUAGAAAACAAAAAAAAUGCGCUGUUUCAUCUAGCUGAUCUCUAGUUCUAGAACUGGAUCUCCAUUUUAGUUAGGUGUUCUGGUGAUUUGGAGUGCUAAAGGUGUUUCGAGUCGAUUCCAAGCGACUUUAGGUAUAAUUGAUAUAGCUCGAGUAAAGUUUGUGUUAGCUGGAGAUUUCAGAGGUGUUUGGUGUCCAAUUUUGAAUUUUUGUGGUUAAUUUGGGGUGCUAUAUUGAAUGGAUCUGUUACUCCUGAUUGAUUUAAAUGCUCCGGGUUACUGUUUUUUGUUUUUUGGGUUGUUUUGAAUAUCAAUCGUCUACUACUCGAUCACUGCCUUAGCUGACUUCCUAUUCUCAAUUUCUAUUAUGCUUCAGGUACAUGUUCUGAACCUCAUGUGUGGAAUUUCAGUUGAAAUAAAAAGGAAAUUGAGGCUUGCUGCUGUAGAUCUGUUGUUUAAACAACUUUUCUGUGCUUUAGUUCUAUUUUGUGAUUUGGUUGGCUAUUCAAUGUAGUUUAAAAUUUGGACUGUAAUUAGGAUUAUUGUUGUAAUAGAACUAUUGAAUUGAUUCCUUAAAUGUUGAAAGGUAUUUAGUUCGAUAGACUCAUGUACUUAGAGUUUGAAAGCUCAUUGCAUUAUAUGAAUUCGAUAACCAUCGACAGGUAUGAAUUGUGCUCUAAUAUCAUGUUAAAAGGUGACUGCCGUGUAGUCAGAUUUCAAUUCAUGAAUUGCCUGGGCUUCAUUCAUUUUAAGUACAACAAUUUGCCA